rnacentral:rRNA from 1 species
ACUUCAGAGGAUAGCAGAAGCGUUUGGGAAAGCGCGCCAGAGAGGGUGAGAGCCCCGUAAGCGAAAUCCAAAGAAGGCCUAUCAGUAUCCUGAGUAGGGCGGGACACGUGAAAUCCCGUUUGAAUCCGCGAGGACCAUCUCGCAAGGCUAAAUACUAACCAGUGACCGAUAGUGAACCAGUACCGUGAGGGAAAGGUGAAAAGAACCCCGGGAGGGGAGUGAAAGAGAACCUGAAACCGUGUGCCUACAAGUAGUCAGAGCCCGUUAACGGGUAAUGGCGUGCCUUUUGUAGAAUGAACCGGCGAGUUGCGUUAGUCAGCAAGGUUAAGUCAGAAAAGACGGAGCCGUAGCGAAAGCGAGUCUGAAGAGGGCGAGCAGUUGGCUGACGCAGACCCGAAACCAAGUGACCUACCCAUGACCAGGUUGAAGGCGCGGUAAAACGCGCUGGAGGACCGAACCCACGUAAGUUGAAAAUUGCGGGGAUGAGUUGUGGGUAGCGGUGAAAUUCCAAACGAACUUGGAGAUAGCUGGUUCUCUCCGAAAUAGCUUUAGGGCUAGCCUCGCAAAGAGGAUGCUGGAGGUAGAGCUCUGUUUGGACUAGGGGCCCGUCAAGGGUUACUGAAUUCAGAUAAACUGCGAAUUCCAGACAUUUAUGUGCGGGAGUCAGACUGCGAGUGAUAAGAUCCGUAGUCGAAAGGGAAACAGCCCAGAUCACCAGUUAAGGUCCCAAAAUUCAUGCUAAGUGGAAAAGGAUGUGGAGUUGCGCAGACAACUAGGACGUUGGCUCAGAAGCAGCCAUCAUUCAAAGAGUGCGUAAUAGCUCACUAGUCGAGUGACGCCGCGCCGAAAAUUUACCGGGGCUAAGCAUGAUACCGAAACUGUGGAUGUGCGUUUAUGCACGUGGUAGGAGAGCGUUCUAGCGGCGGUGAAGCAUGACCGAGAGGACAUGUGGAGCUUCUAGAAGUGAGAAUGCCGGUAUGAGUAACGAAAGACAGGUGAGAAUCCUGUCCGCCGCAAGAC